AACGAACGCUGGCGGCAGGCUUAACACAUGCAAGUCGAACGGUUGUAGCAAUACAGCAGUGGCAGACGGGUGAGUAACACGUGGGAACCUUCCUAGGGGUACGGAACAACUCAGGGAAACUUGAGCUAAUACCGUAUACGUCCGUGAGGAGAAAGAUUUAUCGCCCUUAGACGGGCCCGCGUCGGAUUAGCUAGUUGGUGGGGUAACGGCCUACCAAGGCGACGAUCCGUAGCUGAUCUUAGAGGAUGAUCAGCCACACUGGGACUGAGACACGGCCCAGACUCCUCCGGGAGGCAGCAGUGGGGAAUCUUGGACAAUGGGCGCAAGCCUGAUCCAGCCAUGCCGCGUGAGUGAAGAAGGUCUUCGGAUUGUAAAGCGCUUUUGCCAGGGACGAUAAUGACGGUACCUGGAGAAUAAGCCCCGGCAAACUUCGUGCCAGCAGCCGCCGUAAGAC
rnacentral:rRNA from 1 species